UUUUAUAGAGCUCAAGUUUCAUACGGGCGCUUCACAUUUGUAUCGACAAUUCAAUUGUACUACCCUAUGUCAAACCUUGCAGACAGCCAUCGUUCGCCGCAUCUCUUGUUGCUCCAUUCCGACGAUCGAGCUUGCCUUCUUCUUUCACUACAGUAGCUUAUACCUAGCCACUCACCUCCAACGCCCGAGCGCGCUGCCAUGCCGACCUCUCCUCCCGUCCCGCCACCACUUUUUCCUGCCGUCCCUGCUUGCUCAACCCUAUCUCGUACGUGGUUCCACACUUCCACUUCCACUUCCACCUCCCUGUUCGACGACGCCGUCCGGUUGUUCGACUAAAUGUGCAGCCGCGAGUCGAGGAUGAAUGGCUACGCGCGGAAGGUGUUCGAUGAAAUGGGGCACCGUCCACCCGCUGCAUCCAGACCCCACGAAGUGGUAGCAAUACAAAUUGGAAGAGGGAAAUAAUUGAAGCCACGCCGUUUGCCUAGGAAAUGAAGGUUACAAACCAGGAUGGAUUGCAUCACAUGGUGUUGGAAGAGAAACGACAUAAACAAGAACAUGAGAUGAAACAACCGGCGAUUGUGUAGUGAUCACGCGGCACACAAUUAAGCUGGCCCUGUUGCAGGACGCAAAAAUGUUAAACAUACCUGAAGCUGAAGUCCUGACCAAAGGAAGCUUUACUGCUUCUGUAUCCUGGCUCUGCCUUGCUCUGGCCGGUUCUCUCGCGUACUCCGGAUGCAAGGAAGACGAAGAACAGGUCAAGCGGGGACUCCUGUAAUAAGUAAGCCUAUUUUCCCACCAGAAGCCAUGACCUUUUGAGCCUGGGGUGAUGGAUGACGCUGGAGUCAAAAGUCAAGAAACGGAGAUUUGCACACCUGAUGGAUGACCCAAUUUGUUUGUUCUGAUCCUAUUGCUAGUCCUGUGCCGGGACAAGAGACUCAGAAGAAAAAUUGCCGGCGCAUGACGAACGACGGUCAGUGGACCAUAUGGUUUCGCCACGAGUGAUUGACACGUUCAGAGGUAAAUUUGGGCUCGUGUGGAGUCCGAGAAGAAUGUACCUGCCGUUUUUCAUGGAAGUUCGUCGAGGCUGCGAGGCUUGUAAAUUGUAACCUGUUUGCACGCGUUGUUGCUGUUUCUUUCUGCCUGUGAAUGUGACAUUGCCCUUUCCAGAAAGCCACAAUUAAGUCGGUCCA